CUACACGGGUAUCUAAUCCCGUUCGCUCCCCUGGCUUUCGCGCCUCAGCGUCAGUUUUCGUCCAGAAAGUCGCCUUCGCCACUGGUGUUCUUCCUAAUAUCUACGCAUUUCACCGCUACACUAGGAAUUCCACUUUCCUCUCCGAUACUCUAGAUUGGCAGUUUCCAUCCCAUCACGGGGUUAAGCCCCGAACUUUUAAGACAGACUGACCUAUCCGCCUGCGCGCGCUUUACGCCCAAUAAUUCCGGACAACGCUUGCCACCUACGUAUUACCGCGGCUGCUGGCAC
rnacentral:rRNA from 1 species